AGCACAUCAGCUAUUUCUGCACUUCAGUAGCUGGGAUCCGUUCUUGCAGGCCGGCACAGCUGCAGCAGCGAUGUGGCCCGGGGCUGUUUUCUGUGCACAGUGAAGUGGUCAAUUACAGCAUUGGCACCGGGAGCUGAGUGAGGAGUCCUAAGGGUGCAUCCGUGGAGCUGCAGCCAGCAGGGCUGCUUUGUUGGGCUUCACAGCGGCCCCUGGGUUUCUGAAAUCAAGUUUGGUCUUUUGCAUCAUUCUUGUCCUUAAUCCCACUCUCUUUGACUGAAAAACCGCGUGGAAUGAGAUUAUACAGAAAUCUGUAAGGUUGAUCAAGCGCUGACCUACUUUGCACAAAGAGGCGAUUUGGAAUACAAUGCAAACGGUACAUCCUGCAACGCGUGCAUGAAGUGGCAUUCAUCCAGAGCUGCGUGCACCUUCAGCAUCGGCGCCGGAGCAGUGGGCAUUGCAGGGUCUGAUAUCCUCCCUGUGUGACAGCGCUGAUCCGACCCCAGCUUUUUUCACAAAGCAGCCCAAAUGGCUGGAAUUGUAUGGUAAUGCUGUGCUUUGUGCACUGCCACGUCCUCAUUCUGCCUGACAACAGCAAAUGGUUUGUAUUAACAUUAACAGAUAAUGAGUCAUGGUAAAGAUCUGGGCUUGUCUUCUGAGGAAUAACAAGCAUUCCCAGCACAGCCCCAGAACAAAAGCUUAAGGACUCGCUAGAAUCUGCCCAGCUAAUUAGUUGGAACGGCAGCAUCCUUAUUGGAGAUGGUGUAUGUUAGACAUCAUGCUUGAAAGUGAUGUUGCAUUGCAGAGUGCUGAUCACCAGCAAGCCGGAGGUCACAGUGCAUAGGACAGCACUUCUGCAGGCACGGGGCUGUGUGUGGGGCUGCCCCAUGUGCAGCAAUCACAAGGCGUGCGGGGCUGCAGUGCAACACAUAUCGACGUCCAUAAAACCCCAUAUGCAUAAAGUGGCCACAGCGCUGAUGGGGACUAAUUGUCUUCUGAAGGUUUAAAGAUCACGUAGGGAGCGAGCUGUCAGGAGAUGGCAAAUAAAUAGCUUGAGAAGAACUUCAAUAGGAUCUCUGGUUUUGAUGCUUAACCAAUUCUCUAUUGAUUUCUUUAGGGCAUUUAACUUUAGAAAAUCUUGUUAGUACUCAUCAUCGCCUUCUCAUCUGCCAGAGCACUCGAUGCUCUUAUCCUAAGUAUGAAAAGCUCCAGAAUGAUCAGAAAUAAAUUACACUUUGGAAAACAGGCCGAGAAGCGUGCAGUAAGGCACACCUCAGCUUCUUGCUCAAUCCUGCUCUUCACCCAAAGCGUCCGCAGCACCAACACGUGUGGGACUCUGCAUCCCAAUGUUGCACGCUGCCCACGUGGCAGGAGUGGGGCUGGGGGCUGGGUUGGACCAGGCAGGGCUGGGACCUGUCCCUGCAUGGGGUGUGUGUGGUCAGCAGGGUGGGCACUGCAGGGCAGUGGGACCGAUCCUUACCACGGGUGGUGGGCAACGGUAAAUGUGGCUGCAGCUUGAGAGAACGGAUGCACGUCCGGAUACGUUUCCCAGUGAUGAACUUAACCUUUCGUUUUCUUUUCGUUUUCUGCAGGAUUCCAUUGGUGAACCUGUAAAAAAAAAAUUAAAAAAAUAAUGGGUUACCUGUACCUACCAUUUCUGUUUACCAGUAGGAGACUCACAGAGCAGCGUUCUAUGGGCCAAAUAUAUUUUUAUAAAGAUGAACACGCCUGUAGGGAACUGCGUUUUUCCAAGAGGUUUUUUGGAGAAGAGAAGAGCGUGUGAGCAAAGAAUCCCACGAUGGGAGAGGAAGCCGAGAAGAGCUGGAAGGAGCAGGGCUGAGCAGCUGGAGCUUGGGAUAUGGACUACGAUUCUGAACCUGUGCCAAUAAUACCAUUAUGUGCCAUGUACUGAUGCAAAAGACUUCGUGAGAAGCAGAAGCUAAGUCAGUAACACGCAGAAAUGCUACCGAGGACAGGGGAGGGGCGUCUCUUCCAAUGGGGUCAUUGAUUCCACAUGCAUACAUACAUAUGAUAUAUAUACAGAGAAAAUAUAUACACACACAAAACACUUUUUUUUGUACUGUAGCAAUUUUUGAAGAUCUUAAAUACUCAUUUUUAAAGAAAACGUCACGGGCUAAAAGUCUGAUUUCUUUAACAUGCAUAAUAUGACCUAAAGUUAAAGCGAUGUUUUCUACUUGGGCAGCUUGCCUUUCCAACCUAGCUGUGUAUAUAUAGAUAGACAUAUACAUAUAUAUAUGUGUGUGUGUAUGUAUAAGCAUAUAUAUGUAUGUAUACAUAUAUAGAUAGUUUUAUUUUUCAUUCUGGAGAUGCAUUUCCAGCAGUGGGUGCGUGGUGGGGCCGCGCUGGCAGUGGGUGCUCGUGCCGUGCGGCCCCGAUGCGAUGGGCUUGGAGAGCUUUGAGAGCGGGUCUGGAGCAAGAGCAGAAUGGAAAAGGGGUUUUCCAGCUGUUUGCAGCCUGAGCAUUGUGGGGAUGGCACCCGCAGGGGACAAAGUCAGGGUGCAGAGGGGUCUGCUGGCGUCCCAUCAUGAGAUGCUUCCCGCUGUGCUGCUUCAGAGCGCCGAGGGCAGCAGAGUUCAGACCAAAGUCCUCCGGUUCUUUUUGUAACCCACCCUCCUGAGUGUGUGAACGGCUUUUUAGAGUUAUCCGGACACGCGUUCCCAUCAUCUGCUCAAUCCUCAGCUCCAUUUCUUUAUUCUCAGUGUGUCAUUCCAAGAAGAGGCAACUCGGCCCUUCCGGCUCUGCGCAUCACCACGCAUGCAGCUCCGUAGCAUUCUCCGUCCUUUUCUGAUGGGGUUCUGGAGCCUGGAGCAUUUUCCCCCACCUUAUGGGAGCUGCCCCAAGUAGAAGUCUUCCAUGCCAGAGGUGGAUGUGAACUGAACAUCCAUCCCCAGGGGCACUGGCAGUGUUCCCUGUGGCUCUGGGGCAGCUGAGCAGCCUGCGGAGCUGGACGCAGGGAUACGUUGGGUCCGGAGGGUUUUGUUCCAUGGCAGAGCUGGCUCCUUUUGCAGCAGGGUCUCUGCUGGGUUUCCUGCCCCAGGCCUUUGUGUGUUGCUGAUGUGAGCGGUGCAGCCCAUGCCGAUGAUCCUCGCUAUCGCAAUCGCUUCUAUUUUCCUUCUCUGUCUCACUUCUCUGGCUCCGAUCCACCCCAGCUCUGCCAUCGUGUUGUGCUUUACCCAUUGAUCUUCCUAUUUAUUUGUAUCUACUGGCUGCACCGAGUCCUUCCCGUGGGUAUUCAAUGUAAUCUUGAUAGCAGUUUGACAUCAUGAGAUAUAUCUGAGUCCCUCGUUCCUGGCACCGGGAGCAUUGUGGCAAGCUCCUUCCCUUAGGGAGCUGCUGACUGGAGCUUGGUCUGGUGGAGCCAUGGGGAAGACGACGUGUCUGCGUGUCUGUAUGUCAGGGAGCACAGUCAGACAGCUCCAACCCCAGGCAGGGCUCCAUUGCCACGAGCUUCCCCCACUCUGCAGAAGGCCUGGCCACCCCGAGGCUGCUGAGCGCUGAGCCAGGAGAAACAUAGAUGCACAAUCUUCCCUUAUUUAUAAGGACCAACAGCACUUGCACUUUAUCAGAGAAAUCCUCACAUCCCUAUGCAUGCCAAGCACACCGAGAAAAGGAACAACUGCCAGUAGGAAGGAAAGGAAGGGAGGGAGGAGCGGAGCUGUGAAUGUGGUGGUUUACCAGGCAGGACUCAGCAUCCUGGUGCUGUUUUGUAGUAAAUAGAAAUGAAACCAUGUUUCUUUUCCCUGCUAUUGAUGAGAACCAAAACAAAAACCCCAGAAAACCAUGGCAUGAAAACAUGGAGCUGUGUGUUCCCAGGGAGGUGGUGGAGUCUCCAUCCCUGGAGAUGCUCAAGAAAUACAGAGAUGUGGCACUUGGGGACGUGGUUUCGUGGACCUGGUAGCGGUGGGUUGGGGUUGGGCUUGAGGAUCUUAGAGGUCUUUUCCAACCUGAGUGCUUCUUUGAUUAUAUGAUUCCGUGUUAGUGGAAUAGACCUGUUGGGAGACUUAUUACAUGAGAGAAGAGCAAGAAGUGCAGUGUUUGCAGGCACCUUCUGAUGAGCUGUGCCACGCCGCGGCCGCCCCAACCCACUGCUGUCUGCUGCAGCAACAGAUGACCGCUCUGCAUGGAUGCCUUCAGCCCUUUGCAGGCAACAGCUCUGCCCCGAGCUGGUGGUCAUUGCUCCAACUUCCACUGAUGUGAGCCGGCCCAAAGCUCAUUCAUCGAUAAGGGGAGGCUCUGCAGAUGCUGCUGCUGCCGCCGGGUGCUUGGAUGUGCUGGAACUGCUUGCCCGAGCAGCGGGGCUGGCUGCUUUGCAAGGGCAUGUGCACGUUUGGAGAAUUAGGCCUUGAGAAGGGAUUUUUCUUUUGUCAUUCAGCAUGUGAGCCUGCUUCCCAGCCAAACAGCAGCGCACAGGCAGUGGGAAGCGCUGCACUUUUCCAUGCUGGGUGGUCGGAGCGCCGGGGCCACGCCAUGCUGUGCUGUCAGGUCGUGCUUGUUGCAAGUGAGCUGGCAGCUCAGAGGAAGAGUUGGGAUGUUCGCUCUGCCAUAAGCUUCCAGCCAACUUCUUUUCAGUUCAUCUGUUGGGUUUCUUUCUCCCUUAGUGGUUCUCAAGAAAUAUAGCCCAGCUGCCAGAUCCCCAGACGCGUAGCGGUGCAUUUGUGUUUCGCUGUGGCUCUGCCCCAUUGCAGGGGAUGGGAACGAGCCCCUUCCCUGUGCUCCUGUGGGGGCUGAGGGGCCGGGUACCCAGGUGGCUGCCCAUAUCUCAACACCCAAUCGUUUACCUUCAUUCUGUCUUCCCAGCGAGAGAAAUGGGCAUCCUACUGCGGGUUUCAUGGGAGCACGGCUGGGAAGGAGCGCUCCCACUGCAUUCUUGUGACUCCAAUUCAUUUCCAGCGUAGGUAGGAAUGCAGAGCAGUGACAGCGAAACAGGCGUAGCAAUGGCAAGAGCGCUGCACAGAUGGAUUUCAGGUUACCUCUUCUCCAUUGGCAGCUUGUUACAAAGGAAAGGUAAUUCAGCUAAAAUGGUAGUUAAAUAGUAGAUAUUCUACACAUAUUAUAUAUUUUGUAAAAAAAAUAAAAUAGAAUAAAAAUAUAUAUAGAAUAACUCAGCCCACCCAUUCCAGGAUGACCGCGGUUGGAAUUUUUCAUUCAACCAGCUAUAAAAUCUGUGCGUGAGUUUUUCAAAACCAGCAAGAAAUUCCUCUCCAUCUCAGACACCUGUGGGUCCUCUGCGCCCUGCAGGUCUCACCCAACGCUCGUCACGCAUUUUUAAGGAUUAUUCUCAGCAUUUGUAGGGUACAUUUUUAAACAGCGUCGUGAGUGGAGAUAUUUCCUUUGAGAAAAAGUAUACGUUGCACAAAAAUGUACACCAAGGGCACAGAUUUCUGACCCAGAUUCUUCUAUUUUAGGUUCCGAGGGGUUUAUUUUUUUGUUUGAUAAGGACAUGUACAGUGAAGUUUACAGUUUAUUUUUAUUUUGCCAAAAAACAAAAAAAAAACACAAAAAACCCACACAUUUUCUAACAUGAGACAGCUUUUACUUUGUAACCGGUUUUACAUCACUGAGUAUUUCUUUGUUUCUUUACUGGGAAAGUUCCGUAAUGUGAGGCAUCGAUGCGCGGCGGUGCAUCCGCGGGGACACGGCCUGGGGCACACGGCCCAGCACUGCUUAUGUGUGCAUAGGCUGCAGCUGAUGGAUGGACAGAUGGACAGACAGGCAGACAAACGGACAGGCAGACAGACAGAUGGAUGAAUAGGCAGAUGGACAGGCAGACAGAUGGAGCAGUGGAUGGACAGGCAGAUGGACGGGCAGACAGAUGGAUAGACAUGUGGACAGGCAGUCAAAGAGAUAGACAGAUAGGCAGACAGGUGGACAGAUGGGCAGGCAGACAGAUGGACAGGGAGACAGACAGGCAGACAGAUGGACGGACAGGUGAACAGGCAGGCAGACAAACAGAUAGACAGGCAGACAGAUGGACAGGCAGACAGACGGAUGGACCAUUGGACAGAUGGACGGGCUGACAGAUAGACAGGCAGUCGGACAGCUGGCCAUGGCAGUCCUGUGGCACUGGGCAGCCCUGGCGUUCCGUGUGCCCGGGGCCGGGCUGCCCUCCUCCAGCUGUGGUUCCACACAGGUGAAUAUUUUAUUCCGGAGUGUUUUCUUUUUUAAUUUGUCUCUGUACUUCGAAGCUGUGUAUUUGGAAGCACUGUAAAUGCGACCCUAUACCGAUUUCCCUGUGUAUAUUUAGUACUCUGAUGUUGCUAUUAAAACUGAUAUGAGAACUGCGCGCCGGCUCGUGACUCGCUUCCUCUGUGUUCCCAUCUCCUGGGAUUCAGGGCAGGGGGUACCCGCAGCACCCCCAGCUGCACUGUGCCAACCCAAGACCCCGCAGCAGAGGCAGAACCCCAUGGGAUCGUUGAGUUUCAUGGGGACACAUGGGUUGUGUCACCCUAGCAUAGGGAUGGCACGGCCAGGAUCCUCC
rnacentral:lncRNA from 1 species